AAUAGAUACCCCGGUAGUCCAUGCCGUAAACGAUGAUUACUAAGUGUUGGAGGGUUUCCGCCCUUCAGUGCUGCAGCUAACGCAUUAAGUAAUCCGCCUGGGGAGUACGACCGCAAGGUUGAAACUCAAAAGAAUUGACGGGGGCCCGCACAAGCGGUGGAGCAUGUGGUUUAAUUCGAAGCUACGCGAAGAACCUUACCAGGUCUUGACAUCUUCUGCCAACCUAAGAGAUUAGGCGUUCCCUUCGGGGACAGAAUGACAGGUGGUGCAUGGUUGUCGUCAGCUCGUGUCGUGAGAUGUUGGGUUAAGUCCCGCAACGAGCGCAACCCUUAUUACUAGUUGCCAGCAUUCAGUUGGGCACUCUAGUGAGACUGCCGGUGACAAACCGGAGGAAGGUGGGGACGACGUCAAAUCAUCAUGCCCCUUAUGACCUGGGCUACACACGUGCUACAAUGGAUGGUACAACGAGUCGCGAAACCGCGAGGUUUAGCUAAUCUCUUAAAAACCAUUCUCAGUUCGGACUGUAGG
rnacentral:rRNA from 1 species